rnacentral:lncRNA from 1 species
AAUUAGUUAAAAAAAAAUCUCGUAUGAAAUGGACAGAAUAUAAAAUUCACACUACAAUAGAAUUAGGUUAUGAUGAUAUAUUUUUAGAAUAUUUUUAUAUAAAUGUUCCAUUUAUGUCAAUUUUUUUUUUAAAAAAUCUAUUAAAGCCUAAAUAUAAAGUUCAAUUCAAUAAAAAAUAAAAAAUUUCUCUAUUCAACCAACUCCACCCAGUCCACUUGGCCCGAUUACAAAUAAAAAAAGAAAAAAAAAUGAUCAUCAUCUCUCAUUCUCCUCCUCCGCCGCCGCAGCCGGCGAGAUAAAAUUCCAACGGUUGGAGUUCGGCCACGAGGAUCUUGCAGGAACUGUAGAGGGCUAUAAUCGCCACGUAUCGCUCCGUCAUAGAUCGCUAAAGGAGUGGGUGCCAAAUAUCCCACAUAUAGCAACACUUUUAAAAAAUAUCAAUAAUUUAGCUAGCAGCAUUUUUUUGACAUGUACUAAUAUUUAAAAGUAUCGUUAUACAUUAUUUUUAUUGUAGUGUCAACUAAUUUUGGAUGUAAUAAUAGUAUUACUCUUUUUAAUAAAUUUUUUUUUUUAAUUUUCAUCGAAAGAAUCUCAAAAAUAUUAAAUUAUAUAUAAAACAAUAAAAGAAUAUAGUAAAAGUUAGGCCGGAUGUUUGUUGGAUGUUAUUCUAAUAUAAAGUGUAUACCAACUAGGGGUGGAAACGAGCCGAGCUCGAGCGAGCUUACCUCGGCUCAAAUUCGGCUUGAAAUUAAUUUCGAGCCUAAAUUUAAGCUCAAGCUUGGAUUGAAAUUAAUUCGAACCGAGCUCGAGCGAGUCUAAUUUCGAGUCGAGCGAGCUCAAGCCCUAAACGAGCCGUUUGAAAUUCUCAAUAUCAUACGAUCAAUAGUUUAAUUUGUAUAGGAUAUCAUCUAUAAUUUGAUACAAAAAUAUGUCUAAUAGUUCAAAGUACAAAAUAAUUAUAUGAAAUAUAGUAUUAUAAUAUAAAAAAUUAAUGAGUUGAAUAUCUAAUCUUUUCAGCCUCACAUAUCUUUUCUCCGCAUUCAUCUCCAUAUUAUUCAUUUUAUUUAUGCAGUCAAAAUAAAUAAAUUAUACAGAUAAUAUUGGAUUAAACUAUCCAAUCAUAUAUAACUAAAAUAAAAAUUUAUAUGAUAAAUAAUUUUUUACUUUAAAAAUAUUUGUAUAUUUUUCUCAAGCAUACAAUUAAGUGCAAGGUAGGCCGAGGGGCAUAUGCUGUUACUUGGUAACUUGGAGGGCUUCCGGUUGGCCACUUAGGUGAGAGACAGAAAAGAGAAGAGAGAAACAUAUGAAAAUUUAGAUCUCUGUCAAGAAAGAAAGAAGGAAAAAUGUAUAAAUUUAGUGAAAUUUGCUCUUUUAUUUGUUUAUGGGUUUGUUUUUAUGGUCAACACAUUGGCCAAUUUAACUAAAUCAGAUUAUUCACUCAGCCUAUAUAUAAUUAAAAUAUAUUAUAUAUAUUUUUUUAAUAUAUAUAUAUAUUAUAAUAUAUAUAUAGAGUUGAGCUAGAAUACUCUCGAUAGUAACGGAACGUUUUAUAUCGAGUUGUUUCGAUGAUAGAGCUUCCAAAUUGACGAUCGGCUCGUUAAAUAUGAUCUAAACCAUUUAAACUAUCUAGAAAUCAAAUUUCACGCACUUUCGAUAUUGUUCUUUAUCCAUCUAGUGAACAAAAAAUAAUGGCUGAAAAUGAAUAUUCUUUAAAAAAUGAAUGAUAGGAGUCUUGUAAUCAAGAUCAAGAGUAUAGACUCCUGUUUUAAAUAGUUUAAAGAAUUUUCUAACAAAAAUUCAAUUGAUUUGGUAUAUCUUUACAACCGUUAAACGAGAAACUGCUCUCUUAUCCACCAUUAAAAAUUACAAAUUUUGGAGAACCCUUUGAUAUCAGGACAAAUGAUGUCGAAAAAAUUGUGAAAUUUGAUUUCUAAACACUUCAAGUGGAUAGAUCAUGUUCAAUGGAGGCGAUCGUCAAUUUGGAAGCUCUAAUCCAUCGAAAACAACUCGAUAGUAAACGCCCCGUUUACUAUCAAGAGUAUUCUAGGCUCAACUCUAUAUUAUAUAUAUAUAUAUAUAAUAUAGUAUAUAUAUAUAUAUAUAUAUAUGUAGGACUACCUAUACCUAUCGAAAAUAUAGAGGAUUUGAUGCUUUUCGAAUUUUUGACCCUUUUGAUUUAAGAUUGUAUGAGUUGGAAAAUGAUUGCGGCCCUCUUUAGGAUUAAUUAAUAUCCCUAUAAAUUGAGUGGUCCCUACAAGGUAAUAAUAGUA